rnacentral:misc_RNA from 1 species
UCCGGAAUGCAUUAUCUCCCAGGUAUUGAUCGUGCACGCGCACUUAAUGCACAUUAUUAACAUAUGUUUAAUCUAAUCCUAAUCUUUAGUCGGUAUCUUAUAGUACAUCCAGUGCGAAUUAAUGUUUUCACAACACAACAUGCGGAUGUAAAUAAAUGGAUGUAAACCUUGGAAAUUAAACCGCUUGAUCUCUACAAAUUAUCAGUCAUGUGAAACUGGCAAACUCUGAAACUGAAAAUGCCGAGAAAGUAUGUUGAUAAUGCUUACAAUAGACGGCACGGACGUGUUGGUUUACCUGUCGGCAGUGCCGUGAUUUCCAAAAACACCGUGUGUGGAAUAAACACUAAUACAUAUGUGGACAAUGCUUACAACAGGCAACAUGGGAGGGUGGGUAUGCCACACGGUAGCGCUGUUAUAUCAAAAUAUAGCGAUGGAUUGACUACGUGGAAUUAUCUUGAUACAGACACUCGAGAGGCAGAGUAUACAGAACAUACAUCAGAACGUUCUAAAGACGAGAAAAAUGCGUGGAAAGAAUCUGACAUUGCUGGUCCUCAUCUGCGGGACACAUCUAGGAACAAGGCCAACGUAGCAAAAAGCAGUGAGAGGGGGCGGUCCAGCAUCAGAGAGUUCGAAUCUAGCGCUGACGUUGUCAAUGUUGCUGAAGUACAAGAUACAAUUCAGCAGAAACAUGAAGAAAGAUAUUUGCAACUUGCUAAACAUUUUAAGGAAAAGACUGAACAGAAUCAAAAGCUUACUGACGAACUGAACAAAAUACGGAAGAAGAACAGUUUACUUCAACAAAAAGUUGAUAUAAAUCUUAAACAAUGUGUUGAAUAUCAACAAGAACUACACGAGGUAAAAGAAAAUGUUUUGCCAGAAAGAGAAAGAUUAAUCGUACAAUUGCGAAAUCAGCUGAAAAAAGGGAGAGAAAAUGAACUGGAAUUAACGCAUCAGGUGCAGAAGUUACAAGAAGAGAUAGACAAUAAGAGCGGCCAAAACCAAAAGUUAGACGAUGAACUUAACGAAGCGAAACUAGAAGUUAGCCGUCUCAAAGAUGAAGUAGAACAUCUUCAGGUGUAUGCGCAAAGGUGCUGUGAUCAAGACAGACAACUACAAGAUUACUGGGAAAAUAUUCUGCCUGAAAAAGAGAAUAUAACUGCUAACUUGAGCACCCAGAUAGUGCAGCUGUCAAAUCACUUGAAUGAGAAAGAGAACGAAGUUGUUUAUCUCAAGGACCAGAUUCAACAGCUGCAGAAGUAUGUACAGAUAUGUUAUGAUCUAAAUGGCAAAUUAACAGAUCUACAUGAAAACAUCGUGCCAGAAAAAGAUAGAGCUAUAAGCGUUUUACAAAGUCACGUCGAAAAGCUGUUUGACGACAUUACUACACUUAAGCGGACGGCUGUAUCUGUGGGUCAACUCGAAGUAUUAUCGGAGACAAAUCUGAGCAGAGCUAUACAACAGUUGCAACAUUUUUAUGGUUGGAAGCUUUUAUCGGGAGUACAGAUCCAGGUAUGACAUUACAGACAAGAUGGAAGCGCUGCUGCAGACUAGGUUUGAGUGUGUGAUGAGUGAACUAUGUAAACAGCAGGAAAUUGGAGAUCGGCUUGCCUUGGUGAUCAACACUUACACGAGUAUGGUUAAGGAAAAUUCAAAUUUGCAUCGAUCUUUGAGAACAAAAGAAGGUGAAAUAAAACAGUUAAAAGCAGAAUUACGCCAAACAAAAG